ACAAUGGAGAGUUUGAUCCUGGCUCAGGAUGAACGCUAGCGGCAGGCUUAACACAUGCAAGUCGAGGGGCAGCACGAUGUAGCAAUACAUGGGUGGCGACCGGCGCACGGGUGCGUAACACGUAUGGAAUCUGCCCUGUACUGGGAAAUAACCCGGAGAAAUCCGGACUAAUAUCCCAUAACAACCGAGGUGGCAUCACCUUGGUUUGAAAGCUCCGGCGGUACAGGAUGACCAUGCGCCCGAUUAGCUAGUUGGUGAGGUAACGGCUCACCAAGGCUACGAUCGGUAGGGGGCCUGAGAGGGUUAUCCCCCACACUGGUACUGAGACACGGACCAGACUCCUACGGGAGGCAGCAGUGAGGAAUAUUGCGCAAUGGAGGCAACUCUGACGCAGCCAUGCCGCGUGCAGGAAG
rnacentral:rRNA from 1 species